rnacentral:rRNA from 1 species
AGCGAACGCUGGCGGCAGGCCUAACACAUGCAAGUCGAACGGACCCUUCGGGGUUAGUGGCGGACGGGUGAGUAACACGUGGGAACGUGCCUUUAGGUUCGGAAUAGCUCCUGGAAACGGGUGGUAAUGCCGAAUGUGCCCUUCGGGGGAAAGAUUUAUCGCCUUUAGAGCGGCCCGCGUCUGAUUAGCUAGUUGGUGAGGUAAUGGCUCACCAAGGCGACGUUCAGUAGCUGGUCUGAGAGGAUGACCAGCCACAUUGGGACUGAGACACGGCCCAAACUCCUACGGGAGGCAGCAGUGGGGAAUCUUGCGCAAUGGGCGAAAGCCUGACGCAGCCAUGCCGCGUGGAUGAUGAAGGUCUUAGGAUUGUAAAAUCCUUUCACCGGUGAAGAUAAUGACUGUAGCCGGAGAAGAAGCCCCGGCUAACUUCGUGCCAGCCGCCGCGGUAAGAC